AAAUACAUGGCUCGAGUAAAGCUUGGUUUGCCAGUUUGAAAAGCCAAACACGGCUUGGUAAAAACCCUUCUUCUCUUUUUUCUUAUCGUGCUCUCUCUGUGUCUGGCGACUGUAACUUCAAUGGCGGUUUCUUCUAGAAAAUCGAGCGGCCCUGUUAUGAGGUCUCUCUCACCUUCUGGGAGAUUCUGUCGCUCCUAUUCUUCUUCUUCUUCUUCUUCUUUUUCUUCCUCAUCGGCGUUUGCGUCCUCCACAUCAAGCUUUUCCACUGAAAACCCUACUUCCUUUUUCCGUAGAUCUCUGUCUCCGUCUCGUGUUCAUCUACAAGGUUCUUCUUCUUCUACGUCGGCGUCGUCCGUGAGAUUUGCACUGGACCGGUCUAUUUCUCCGAAUCGGCAUAUCUCUGUUUUGACUCGUGGCGGUGGGAAUCAAGUAGUGAAGAGGCAGAGCAACCAGAAGAGGACGUGCUUGUGCUCUCCGACCACGCAUCCUGGUUCGUUUCGGUGUAGUCUCCAUAAAGGCGUUCCGUCGCAGCCUACGACUCCUUACUCGUCUAAUCGGCUCAACGCGCGGAGAUCGGCGAUGACGAACUCUUUGGUUAGAAUCGGAGGAGUUGAAGGCGAUUUAGUGAGGCGGGCCCUGGCGUCUCUCAUUCGACCUUCGUCUCACAGCCAAAGGCGUCGAGCGGAUUUCUGUCCGCGACCGAGCCGGCUUUCGAUCAUGUCGAAAGCCGAUGAUCUGUGAUGGAAAAUUUGGGCUUCUAAUUCGAAAAGGAAUGACUCAAAAUUAUUUGCGCCUGCUAAUCGCUGAAAUCAGUUCAUCGUUAUACAUAUUCUAUACGAUUCAAAUUGUUUCCAGAACACCUGUGUUUGUUAUUUUGUUCGACGUACACGUCUCCUUCCUUCUGCUGUCGCCUCCGUUCAUGGUGGCCGUGAAAUUGAAGCCGGUAAUUUACGCAUUCAUGCUUGCCGUACUCCGUUUUGUCAAUCGGAUGAUUUCUUAAAGAUGCAUUUGAAGGUUGAAACCUAAGAGCUCUGAUUUUGAACUGUGAAUUUUGUGAUCUGAAAGUAAAUUCAGGUGGAGAUUCAAAUUUGAAUGAAGUUAUGAACUAAGACAGACGAUGGAAUUCUUGACAGCGACUGAACAAUUAUAAUUGGAAUUAAUUGGAAACAAAUCCUGGAAUUCAAAAAGGUAAAUAACAUCAGAGUUGAGUUGAAGUUAGAAUGGAAUAGAAUAGAAUCGAAUGAAACAUUGAAUAGUAGUGUAAUUCGGUGGUGCGGUGGAGUGGAUGGUUGACCUGUCAAGUCUCAAAUGGGUGGAAGGAACCGACGACUGCUCUCUGCCUACGAAAAACCAAUCCAAAUCCCUAUUGAUUGUUCAUAAAACUAUUCAAUGGAAGAAUGCCCCUUUGAGAGAUGAAGAGCUGCCUAUGUCAGGAGAGGAGAUGUUAUGGACAGACUGAUUCCUAACGGCGUAUACGCUUGUGGGAGACAUGAUUUCUAACCACCAUUUAUUCUAUUAUGGAGAGACGUGAUUCUUAAUAAUAUUAGUGUGAGUGGAUUAGAAAUAUUGGUUCUAGC